GUGAGCAGACAAUUUCAAGCAUCAGUAUUGUUCCACAAGGAAUCUGCAGUGGCAUAUCCAACGAAUGUCGGAUACCGUCUGAUGGCAUCAAUUCCUCAUUCCGAAAACUACUUUCACUGAGGAGAGACUUUCACAAGAGCGAUACCAGAAUACCCAACAUUUAAAGGACGCGAUUUCGGCAAUCUUUGCAACAAUCACCAAAGCACAGCUUUGUAAAAUAUCACACAGGACAUGGCGCCGCAUCAUUUUGUGCCACGAAUAUGAUGAUGUUCAUACAGACCUUCUCAAUGUAUGAAAACGUCAAUGUCAACGAAAGAAAAUAUACUAAAAUGAAGACGCCAUUGCAAAAAAACAGUUCGAUCCGAUUUGCUAAAAGACCUAAUAUUGAAAUCAAGUUUAUUCAUAAUAAAGAG